UACGAAGGGGGGCUAGCGUUGCUCGGAAUCACUGGGCGUAAAGGGUGCGUAGGCGGGUCUUUUAAGUCAGGGGUGAAAUCCUGGAGCUCAACUCCAGAACUGCCUUUGAAACUAGAUAGCUAGAAUCUUGGAGAGGUCAGUGGAAUUCCUGGUGUAGCGGUGAAAUGCGCAGAUAUCAGGAGGAACACCGGUGGCGAAGGCGGGGUCUCUGGGGCCAUACUGACACUGAGGAGCGAAAAGCGUGGGGGGAGCGAAACCGGAAUUAGA
rnacentral:rRNA from 1 species